AGAGUUUGAUCAUGGCUCAGGAUGAACGCUGGCGGCGUGCCUAAUACAUGCAAGUCGAGCGAACUGAUUAGGAGCUUGCUUCUAUGACGUUAGCGGCGGACGGGUGAGUAACACGUGGGCAACCUGCCUGUAAGACUGGGAUAACUUCGGGAAACCGAAGCUAAUACCGGAUAGGAUCUUCUCCUUCAUGGGAGAUGAUUGAAAGAUGGUUUCGGCUAUUACUUACAGAUGGGCCCGCGGUGCAUUAGCUAGUUGGUGAGUUAACGGCUCACCAAGGCAACGAUGCAUAGCCGACCUGAGAGGGUGAUCGGCCACACUGGGACUGAGACACGGCCCAGACUCCUACGGGAGGCAGCAGUAGGGAAUCUUCCGCAAUGGACGAAAGUCUGACGGAGCAACGCCGCGUGAGUGAUGAAGGCUUUCGGGUCGUAAAACUCUGUUGUUAGGGAAGAACAAGUACAAGAGUAACUGCUUGUACCUUGACGGUACCUAACCAGAAAGCCACGGCUAACUACGUGCCAGCAGCCGCGGUAAUACGUAGGUGGCAAGCGUUAUCCGGAAUUAUUGGGCGUAAAGCGCGCGCAGGCGGUUUCUUAAGUCUGAUGUGAAAGCCCACGGCUCAACCGUGGAGGGGUCAUUUGGAAACUGGG
rnacentral:rRNA from 1 species